UUGGUGAACAUAGGACCAAGGUGCGUCAGGCAGGAUGCCCCUGCGGUGAAGAGCCACUGUGACCACACGCCUGGGCCUCACCGCCACAGCCGGUGCCUCCCUGUGCCACAGGCACCUCAGGCAGAAACCUCACAGGGGCGAUUUUGAUAUUUUCUGAAACAAUUAAACAAACGAUCUUGUGAUUUUUUUUUUUUUCCCCCCAGAACGGAGAAAAAAAUGGCUCGCGCCAAAACAGUCGUGAACUCCAAGACCCACCCUCCCAAGUGCAUUCAGUGUGGGCAGUACCUGGACGACCCUGACCUCAAAUAUGGGCAGCACCCACCAGACGCGGUACGUACAGCUCUCUUCCCAGCCUUCCUCUGCCCGUCCCUUGUCUCACUGCUCACCAGCCCCGUGUCCUUCAGGUGGAUGAGCCACAGAUGCUGACAAAUGAGAAGCUGUCCAUCUUUGACGCCAACGAGUCUGGCUUUGAGAGUUAUGAGGCGCUUCCCCAGCACAAACUGACCUGCUUCAGUGUGUACUGUAAGCAUGGUCACCUGUGUCCCAUCGACACCGGCCUCAUCGAGAAGAAUAUCGAACUCUUCUUUUCUGGUUCAGCAAAACCAAUCUAUGAUGAUGACCCGUCUCUUGAAGGUGGUGUUAAUGGCAAAAAUCUUGGCCCCAUAAAUGAGUGGUGGAUCACUGGCUUUGAUGGAGGUGAAAAGGCGCUCAUCGGCUUCAGCACCUCAUUUGCCGAAUACAUUCUGAUGGAUCCCAGUCCCGAGUAUGCGCCCAUAUUUGGGCUGAUGCAGGAGAAGAUCUACAUCAGCAAGAUUGUGGUGGAGUUCCUGCAGAGCAAUUCCGACUCGACCUAUGAGGACCUGAUCAACAAGAUCGAGACCACGGUUCCUCCUUCUGGCCUCAACUUGAACCGCUUCACAGAAGACUCCCUCCUGCGACACGCGCAGUUUGUGGUGGAGCAGGUGGAGAGUUAUGACGAGGCCGGGGA
rnacentral:sRNA from 1 species